AACGAACGCUGGCGGCAUGCCUAACACAUGCAAGUCGAACGAGACCUUCGGGUCUAGUGGCGCACGGGUGCGUAACGCGUGGGAACCUGCCCUUAGGUUCGGAAUAACUCCCCGAAAGGGGUGCUAAUACCGGAUAAUGUCUUCGGACCAAAGAUUUAUCGCCUUUGGAUGGGCCCGCGUUGGAUUAGCUAGUUGGUAGGGUAAAAGCCUACCAAGGCGACGAUCCAUAGCUGGUCUGAGAGGAUGAUCAGACACACUGGGACUGAGACACGGCCCAGACUCCUACGGGAGGCAGCAGUGGGGAAUAUUGGACAAUGAGCGAAAGCCUGAUCCAGCAAUGCCGCGUGAGUAAUGAAGGCCUUAGGGUUGUAAAGCUCUUUUCCCCGGGAUGAUAAUGACAGUACCGGGAGAAUACGCACCGGCUAACUCCGUG
rnacentral:rRNA from 1 species